UACGGAGGGUGCAAGCGUUAAUCGGAAUUACUGGGCGUAAAGCGCGCGUAGGCGGUUUGGUAAGUGUGAUGUGAAAGCCCCGGGCUUAACCUGGGAACUGCAUCCCAUACUGCCAAGCUAGAGUACGAUAGAGGGGGGUAGAAUUCCACGUGUAGCGGUGAAAUGCGUAGAGAUGUGGAGGAAUAUCAGUGGCGAAGGCGGCCCUCUGGAUUGAUACUGACGCUGAGGUGCGAAAGCGUGGGGAGCAAACAGG
rnacentral:rRNA from 1 species